AAUCAACGCUGGCGGCGUGCCUCAGACAUGCAAGUCGAACGAUUAAAGCUCUCUUCGGAGAGUGCAUAGAGUGGCGCACGGGUGAGUAACACGUAAGUAAUCUACCUUCGAGUGGGGAAUAACGUCCGGAAACGGGCGCUAAUACCGCAUAAUGCAGCGGCAUCGCAAGAUGACAGUUGUUAAAGGAGCAAUCCGCUUGAAGAGGAGCUUGCGGCAGAUUAGCUAGUUGGUAGGGUAAUGGCCAACCAAGGCUACGAUCUGUAACCGGUCUUAGAGGACGGUCGGUCACACUGACACUGAAUAACGGGUCAGACUCCUACGGGAGGCAGCAGUCGGGAAUUUUGGGCAAUGGGGGAAACCCUGACCCAGCAACGCCGCGUGAAGGAUGAAGUAUUUCGGUAUGUAAACUUCGAAAGAAUAGGAAGAAUUAAAUGACGGUACUAUUUAUAAGGUCCGGCUAACUACGUG
rnacentral:rRNA from 1 species